UUGAGACUCAUGAUAGAAGAACUGAAUCAUAUGGUAACUAUACCUAGAGAUUUAUUACUUCCAUUCUGUUGGGUUAACAGUACUACUAGAUGUCGCUGGUGGAUUGUGAGACUCAUCGAGCAUCAUCUUAAUGAUCGAUGAUCCUUGAUGGUCAGUGUUGGAAUUAUUCCAAUCCAUUGAAAAAAGUUUCAAUGAUAUUUUUGAUGGAGAUCAAAAUAUAUCUCAUUACCAGGCAGAACAAAACCUAUGGGGUCCCAUG
rnacentral:lncRNA from 1 species